ACCUCCAAGCAGGGAGCUGUUGGCUGCAAGAGAGAGAGAGAGAGAGAAGGUCAGUGUAGAGCAGCUUGGGGACAGGGGGCUGUGGGGACGGGGGGGGGUGGCCCAUCAGAAGCCUGUGCCCUCAGGCUCUAGGCACAGGGCCUCCCAGCCCGAGGAGGGACAGAUGAUGGUGGACAGGAGAGGGGCCAGGAGUCCUCCCCCAUGGAGGCUCCCAGUGGACCUGAGGUUAGUAGGGUGACAGCGAUGGGGACACAGGCCCCGGCUCACCCUGAGCAGCUGCACAUGGGUGCAAGUGACAAGUGCCAAGGGUCUUGCCAGGCACCGUCCGUUCACCCCCAGUGUCUCCCGAGGCCCUUCAGAGGCUGGCCUGACGCAGGGUGGGAGGACAGGGAAGCCCUGCUCCUGCCCAGAGGUCCACCAGGGACACAGACUGGAAGCCACCAGGAGCAGCUGUGCCGCUGCACAUGUGGUGGGUGCUGCCUGGGAGCCACCAGGGCCGGCUAGGCCCAGGGAGGGAGGAGUGUCCUUGUCCGCCUCGCCACGUGGGAUCAGGUGGGUCAGCCCCCUCCUGGGGUUGGGGUGAAUGUCGAGGGACACGGAGCCCCCUGCCUGGACGAGAGCAGACCACCAGGCAGAGCAGGUCUGAAGGCCUCCACCUUCCAGAGUAGCCCGGCCCACCCGCCUCUGCUGGGCUGGCUGUCUCCUCCUGCCUUCACCAGGAGACUGGCAGCCCCUCCUCCGGAGUGGCAGGGCUGGGCUGGUCAGUGCCCCCAGCCCGGCCUGGCCUCCCCCUCCUGGUCCCACAGAGUGCCUCUGUGCUAAGCAGGGGACGCGGUGCCAGGGAGCAGGUCCAGUGAGCAGGCCCCAGGUGGGGAGGCCAGCCGGGCCUCAGCCCCGGGCUCAGGAGGCCUGGCUCUGUGUGGGGCCUGGUCCGUCCCCACCUCACGGCCAGGCCUGGGGGCACCCUUGCGUGAGGCUCCCCCGGCUCUGGCCCCGGGGCCGUGUGCGGAAGCGGUGGACGCUGCUAAGUGGUGUCGGUGGCUCCGAGUGGCUGGUCUCCCAGACCUGACAGCUUUUCGCUUGGGGAAUAAUUAAUUCCACAGCCUGAAACCCAGGGCUGCAAGACACCACGUUACUGCGAGAUUAAUACAAGCAGCUAAUUAAGAUGGAGAGGCGAGGACGGCCCCGCGCUCCCAGAACAGGAGCGGGGCCGCGGGAAGGCAGGGGCCAGUCAGGCCAAAGCGGCCGCGGGGGCGCAGCAUGGUGGCCCCCAGGGGCUGUGGGCAGGCUGUGGGGGGCUGGCUCCCGGGGCGCUGGAGUGGCCUGUGCCCCAGGAAUGCACAUCUCCGCCCCCGCUGGGGAGAGCGUCUUUCCAGGUGCAGACUGAGUGCUUGGCACAGGCGACCCCAUUUCCCAUCACGGCUCGGCCACGGGCAGGGGCUGCUGUUCCCAAUUUACAGAAAAGAAGACCAAGGCCCGGAGCGGUCCCAGUGGUAGCAGCAGGGUCAGCGCUGGGUCUGACUGACUCCAAGCAGGCAGACCCCAAGGGGGACUGUCAGGGCGGACUGUCUCCACCCUUGCCAGGCCUAGGUCCUGCCUCUGCCAAGUCCUGUCCAACAAGCGGUGGGCCCUGCCACAUGCAGCCUUGACCCUGCUCCUGCCCCAGCAGAUCUGACCGCAGGGAUGGGGGCGGGGCCGCUGGGCAGCUCUGCCCAGGAGCCAGCUGGAGGACAGUGCAGUUGGGGGCCCAGGUCCCGCUCUGGGCUCCCCCGGCCCCAGGGGCUGUGCCGGCGGCUGGCAGAAGCUGCCCUCCGUGGCCUCGCUCACCUCCCCCAUCACCUCUCGCUCUUAAUUAACACGGCUGCAAACGAGCUGGCUCCUGCUCAAAGGGGAUGCAGAGCCAGAGGGGUUGGCAGCCAGCCCUGAAGAGACAGGAGGGGGGCGCUGACCUGCUGUUCUGCAGGCCCCCGUCAGGGGAUGGCCAGGCCGCCUGCCCGCACCCAGCCCCUCCUGGGUGGGCUUGGCCUCCGGCAGCCAGCAGGUGACCUGCUGAGGCCGCCCAGCCAGGGGCAGAGCAGGGAGUGGGCCUCUCCAGGGGAGGCCUCCACCAGGUGGUCGAGGCCAGGCCAGGUGGCCUUAUCCGCCACGGGUGGGAAGGGGUAGGGAGGCCCAGCACCGGGGUCCCCGUGGUCAUGGGCAUCCUGGGGGCCAGUCUGUCGUGUCCCUUCUGCCAACCUCAGAUGGCCCAUGGGUGAGGGUUCUGGUGUCCUUGGCUGGUUCCCUGAGGCUCCAUUCUCCUCUCCCCAGGGACCUUAAUGACCAGCCAGCCACACGAGCCCCAGAAGGCUGUCCCCAGUCCCCCAGGGGGCCAGGCUGUCCAAGGGAAAAGGCCUGGUGGCUUCAGGAGGACAGCUGAGAAGGGCACAGUGUCGACAGACUCAGGAGGUGGUCCCUGGGUGUGGCUGCCACCCUGAAGCAGGGCGGCUCCGGGCGCUGUAGCUCCCAGACGCGGGCCUCUGGAUGCCCUUCCCGCCUCACCGGCCCCUGGGCCCCCUCUGCCCCCCAGGCUUUCCUCAGUUUGGAGGCUUUAAUCACAGCUGGACCUCCACCCUUUUUUCAAACGGGGAAACUGAGGCUCCAGGGGGACAGGGAAGGGGAGGAGGUGGGCUCCGCCCAGGAGGGCUGCCUGUCACGGCCCAUUUUCUUAACCCUGCACACUUCCCAUCUGAAAGGAGGCAGGGGACAUGUGACCAGCCAGUCCACUCCAGGGCCCAGACCUGACCCCAGCAAACGGGUCUGUGUGUGUGUGGAUCAAACCACGGCCUCACGCGUGCUGGGCAAGGGCUCUACCACUGAGUUUUGCCCCAACCCCCUUUUGAUUUUUAUCUUGAGAUAGCCUCUUACUCUGUUGCAGAGGCUGGCCUCGAACUUGUGAUCCUCCUCCCUUACAGGUGUGCACCGUCACACCCAGCAGUCACUUGAAUUUUAAGAUCCAAAACUGAAGAGUCAACUUGCAGAAAUAGGUAUUUGGUUUAUUGUGUUCAAAUCAGUGUUUUGAUCAGAAAUUCAUAUUCAGUAAUAAGAAUAAACAAAAAUCAAUUUGUGGGGUUUUUGUUUUGUUUGGUACUGGGGAUCAAACCCAGUGACACUUAACCACUGAGUCACAUUUUCUAGCCCUUUUUAUUUAUUUAUUUAUUAUUAUUUUUUUAAAGAGUGUUACUUUUUUUUUUAGAGAGAGAGGGAGGUAGAGAGAGAGAGAGAAUUUUAAUAUUUAUUUUUUAGUUUUCGGCGGGCACAGCAUCUUUGUUUGUAUGUGGUGCUGAGGAUCAAACCCGGGCCGCACGCAUGCCAGGAGAGCGCGCUACCGCUUGAGCCACAUCCCCAGCCCCCUUUUUAUUUUUUAUUUUGAAACAGUCUUGCUAAGUUGCUGAACUUGCAAUCCUCCUGCCUCAGCCUCCCUCCCAUGAGGCUGGGAUUACAGGCAUGUGUCCCUGUGACAGGGCCACAUUAGUUUUUAGCUCCUGCAGCACUAGCGGUUGGCUCUGCCCAGAAUGCUCCAGUUCUGAUCUGCAAGAAUAUGUAACAACUGGCAGAUUCUAGAAGCAGAGUCCUUUGAAAAUUAUUUAGCAAGAUGAACAGCCUACUCUCCAAAUAAAGAAAGACUGGGCGUUGGGCAUGCACCUGUGUUCCCAGCUACUUGGGAGGCUGAGGCAGGAGGAUCACUUGAACCUAGGUGUUCCAAGGCCAAUCUAGGCAACAUAGUGAGACCCUAUCUUCAAAUAUGAGCUCGUGUGGUGGCACAUGCCUGUAAUCCCUGCAGCUCUGGAGGCUGAGGCAGGAGGAUCACAAGUUCAAAGACAGCCUCAGCAAUGGCGGAGGCUCUGAGCAAUGCAGUGAGAUCCUGUCUCUAAAUGACAUGCAAAAUAGGGCUGGGGAUGUGGCUCCCUGGUCAAGCACCCCUGGGUUCAAUCUUUGAUACAAAAGAAAAAAAAUUCCGGGUAAUUGGCUAAUGACCAGGUGCUGAGGGAAAAAAAACACCCAUUUUGAGCCUUAAGGCGACCCCCGGGCAACCUGUUUCAUAUGUAUUUUCAUUAAAGACUGAAAAGGAAUAAGCCCUCUGUCCUCAAUUUUGUCCAGGAGCAUAAAUUUCUGAAGAGAAGCACUGCGUCUCAAUCAUCACAAACAACAUAUUCAAAUUUCUAACCGCCAUUGGUAUUUUUUUUUUGGCUGAUAACUUGAAAAUGCAAUUCUCUGAAAUCUCGGAAUUUACAAAGACUGGACAGCAAAAGCAAGCUGUCCCCAACAAGAGGCACCCAGGGGGAUAGAUCCAGAAUCCUGGGGGCUGCGGCUGGGGCUCGGUGCACUGGGUUCGAUUCUCAGCACCGAAUAUAAAUAAAUAAACUAAAAACAAAAAAAUCUAAAAUCCUGAUUAAGGACCAGACAGAAAUGACCACUACCACUGCCCAGCAGAGCUAAGGAACCCUUGGCCAUGGUUAUGGUCACUAGUGCACAUUUGAGAUUAGGCUGAAAGGUCUAACCGGCCACCCUCUUCAUGCCAGUUAUACCUCUAAGGAGUCCGCGUGCUGAAUGGCGACCACUCUGGUGCCGUGGACAGGUGGCCCCUCCUCGGCAGGUGGCUCCACGGCCCCCUCUACCUUUCAGCCGGGGUCUUUGGCCUCCGGGAGGGGUGCAGUGAGCCUGGUGAGGCUGACUCGGAGCCCUGGGGAGGCUCAGGGCUUGCUCAGGUCGGGUGGGGGGCAGGUCUCCACCUGGCACCCCACCUUGAGGCUCUGGAGGUGCCCCACCAUCCCCACAGGGUCGAGGUGGUCCCCUGCCUGGGAUGCGACCCUGGCACACCUCCCUGGGCUCCAUUAGCUGGCCCUGAGCCCAGUGCUGCCCCUGUGACGUUGACGUGCCUUGGAUGCCAGUCAUUGCUGCCACACAUCCUCUCGGGCCCCUCCCGCCACCACCUGCUGCUCCUGCAGUGCCCUCCACCAGCCCCCCUGCCCCUCUGCCCGUGCCACCCCUUCCCAAGCCCAGGCCCAGGCCCAGGCUCCCGCUGUCCCUGGCCCUGGUGGCUGUCACCGGCUCUGGUGGCUGUCCCGGGGGAGGGCAGGGCGAAGUCUCCCCAGUUUGUGCCCCAGCUCCCGGCCUAGUUAGGACCUGGCAGGUGGCCACUGCCCAGUGCAAGGGAGACAGCUAGACCCAAGUGCUUGGCCACUGUCACUAAAGGUCAGAGGAAGCCCGGGAACAAAGGCGACACAGGCCCCUACUUCACUCUCUACACGAAGCCCUUUAAUUGAGUGCCAACUGUGUGCAGGGCUGUGCUGGGCUCAGACCCGGGCAGCCCAGCCCCUGGGCCUCGCAGCCUCAAGCCUGGCAGGAGGGAGGGGAAGGGUCGGAGAGAGGUCUGAGACCCUGAGGCCUGGACUCGGGAGGCAGGGACAGGGGCCAGAGGAGCCUUGCUUUUAACAGAGAAAAAAAAUAAGUUUCUAGGUCAAAGAAAAUAUUUUAAAAAACAAGAUAAAUAUAUUUGUUUUAUACCAACAAAGGCACAAAUUAUCAGGGUUUUUUUUUGGGUGGGGAUAGUAGGAAUUGAACUCAGGGGCACUCGGCCACUGAGUCACAUCCCCAGCCCUAUUUGGUAUUUUAUUUAAUGACAGGGGCUCCCUGAGUUGCUUAGGGCCUCACAUUGCUGAGGCUGGCUUUGAACUCUCGAUCCUCCUGCCUCAGCCUCCCGAGUCGCUGAGAUGACAGGCGUGUGCCACCAUGCCUGGUUUAAAGUAUCGUUUAUUAACGGCUCUUUUUUAUUUUCAUUUUUUGGUGCUGGGGAGGGAACCCAGGGCCUUGUGCAUGCGAGGCAGGCACUCUACCAGCUGAGCUACGUCCCCAGCCCCUUUAACAGCUCUUUAAGGGAGGAAGGGCCACGGAGGCACAUGCUGGGCCUGGGCCCGUGAGUUCACCUGAUGCCCACCCUGUCUGGGGGACACCCAGGGUGCUCAGCCACAGAGGGCAACCUGCUCCCCAGGAAAAUCCCGACCACUCCGACUUCACCCUGGCUGCCCAGUUAAAACCGUCCUGGGCCUGGGGUGUGCGGGGCCCUGGGUUCCCCCCCAGCCCCACAAUCAAUCAAUCAAUCAAUCAAUCAAUAGGUUGAUAUUUUAAAACAACAAAAGUCCUUGAGACCCUCAGUGGGAAGGAGUUUCCUGUUUUCUCUCAGGACAGUGGCCACCAGCCUUCCCCCGGCCUGUGGGUACCUCUGUCCCCUCCCCCUUCUGCCUGGCCCUUCCUGGCAGGGAGGACUACAUCCUCCAGGUGGUAGGGGGAGUGGGGGUGCUGAGGGGAGGCCGUGGUGCAGUGACCCGAGGAAAGCGCUGAGCAGGUUCCAGGGCUGGGAGCGCUGGGCGGCCAGGGGUGACCUUGCAGCCGGCCAGCCCCUCUGCGUGUCCCUGGAGGCUCCUUCCUCCUGGCCCUGCCUGUGGCUCCACACACCUCCCUGGCUGCCGGGACAGCUAGACAGGCGCUGGGCUGCUGCCCUCGGUCCCCAGCCCCUGGCCUGGCCGCUUCCUCCCGUGCCCCUGGGAGCCCGGGCUCAGCUCCUACCAUUUGACAAUGCGCACCCUGCCCCUGGUGUGGGGCGCUGGGACACAGACAGCAAGGGCCUCCUGGUCCAGGAGGGGGACAAAGACAGCAAAAUCAGUACAGCUGAAACCAGUGUCACUAAUGCGGAGGCUGUGAAGGAGAGGAGAGGAGCUGGCGGUGGGGCCAGUCCCAGAGGGGUGAACAGGGGCCAGCCCGGAGGAGCAUGCGCCAGGCAGGCAUGGCCGUGCAGGGGUCCUGAGGCAGGGCCCCCUGUGGCUGAGGCAGAGUGAGGGGAGAGGAGGGCUGCGGGGACAGGAGUGGCCCAUGCCAGGGAGCCUUUGUGAGAGAGGGAAGGUGCUGGGGGCCCCCACUGCCCCUGACCUGCCCUGAGCCUGGCUCCCCGUGGGAGUCCCUGACAGUCCUCCUGACAGCCAGGGAGGCGGCUAUCCAUCCCCUGCCUCCCGCAGCCCAGGUGGGACUGUGGUCCCCGGAUCCCGUGGUCCCCGAGUCCCGUCCUUUCACACAGGCUUCAGAGGAGGAGCAGCCCGUGGCGGAAUCGAACGUGAGACGUGCUGAAUUCUGAAGGUAAAACCAGAGACUCGGAGGCCUCCCAGCUGUGAGAGCAGCGGCCUUGUUUGACAAGCCGCGUCCCCCAGGCUGAGGUCACUGUCCCUGGUGGUGAGUGUGCUCAGGUGGGAAGCGGGGGGCUUGCUGGACACUCUCCUGGCUUGGGAGGGGACAGGGAGCGGGGGCCUCAGGGUACUCAGUGUGUCCCCAGCGAGCUUCACCAUGGAGCCCCAGGAUCCUCUCAACACACCCGCCCGCCUCAUUCCCAGGGGUAGAAACUGAGGUCCAUACAGAUGAAAUGACCAUGGGCCUCCGGAGCAGCCAGUGCACCACGGCCUUGGCCCAGUGGCUCCACCUCCCAGGACCUUGGUGUCCCCUUCUGGGAAUGGGGAGGUCGCUUAACUGAGGCCUUUCUGAGCCCCAGAUGAUAAAAUUAAAAUUGCCGUAAAACCGUCACGGCGGGGAGGGCCUGUCUCAGUGAGUUUUCUGUUGCUGUAACAAAGUACUCGAGCCGGGCGCGGUGACGCCCGCCUGUGGUCCUAGCAGCUCAGGAGGCUGAGGCUGGAGGAUCACAAGUUCAAAGCCAGCCUCAGCAACUUACUGAGACCCUGUCUCUAAAUAAAAAAUAAAAAGAGCCGGGGAUGUGACUCAGGGGGUAAGAGCCCCUGGGUUCAAUCCCUGGUACAAAAAACAAAACCCAACAAGAUGCCUGAGUCUAGGGAAUUCAUGAAGAAUAGAGGUCCACUGGCUCUCAGUUCUGGAGGCUGGGAGGUCCAGGGCCAAGGCAUGGGUACCGCGAGGAACCUUCAUCUCCUCCCAAAGGCCUGCCUUGGAAUACUAUCCCCGUGGGAAUUAGUUUCCAGCACGUGAACUUUGGGGGGACACACUGAAGUCACUGGGCCUGGCUGUGGCGAUGGACAGGGAGCCCGAGGCCCAGGCAGGAGGAGGCUGGGGGCGUGGGUGUGGUCACCAGCCUUUGGGGAGCCAAGGGCGUGCAGGGCCAUUUCACAGCCAGGGCUGGCCUGAGGCCACCUGGGCAGGGGACGCGAUGGGAUCUGGACUCUGUGGGUCUGAGUCGGAGCUGGACUUCUUCGGCCCUGGCUGGCUGCCCCCCAGGGCUCGGCCCCUGCCUCUCCUCUGAGGGCAGCUGGGGUCGACGCUGGGGGCAUCCCUUCCUGGACUCUCCUUCCAGUGACCUCAUUCCAGACCCUUCCCUUCCCCUGCACCUCCAUCACCCUCCCUCCGCUCUGCACCCACCCUGGCUCCCCAGGCCCCACCCCUGGCCAUCCUGAGGGCUCCCGCCACACAGCUGUCCCUGCAGAAGCUGCCCAGCCAGUCAUUUAGCUCAAGGAGGUGACUUGGCUGUGGUCUCCUGAGACAGGGACUCUCUGUCCCCUUCCUGCCUGGGUUCCUUGGGCUCUGCCCCUGAGGGGCCCCUGGAGACCCAUCUCCUGGCUGGGACACCCAGCGGGACCCCAAGCCCCCGGAGACCCAGAGAUCCCCUGGACACGGCUCUCCGCCCGGCUCUGGGCACCUUCCACACACUGGCGUUUGGUUACGCAAGAAAUUCAGAUUCAUUGCCCCAAAUUGGAUAAUACACAUAAACAAACAGCGAGAGGAAAGUGAGUCACCCUGUCGCUCAGCAGGCAGCGCCGGCCUGUCACACUUCGUCCCCGUCCCCGCAGGAACUCUUAACUUUCAACCAAACCAGAAACUGGCUACUGGGGCUUUGACCCAGCACGUCGGUCCCCUGUCCCCUGUGCCUGGCAUUGGGCCAGGGGUGUGGGGUGGACCAGGAGCCCGAGGAGGGGGUCCUAUUAUUUUGGCCACUUGGUAGAUGGGGAGAGGUUCAGAGGUCCAGCAUCCCUCCCACCAGUGGCUUGCUCAAGGUUACCCGGCUGCCAAAGCUGGGGAGCUGGGCUGGGGUCAGGCACUGGCCUCCCAGAGUCCAGAGCUCGGUGGGCCAGGUGCUGUGGGACCCCCGCUGCUGCUGGGCUUCCCCUCCCCCAGGAGCCAGGGCAGGCGCUCAGCAUCCCGCCAUUAGCAUAUCCAUGAGCAUCCCUGAAACCCAAUUACCCAGAGGGCUUGGGCCCCAGCCAGCCGUCCUGCCAUCUCUGCAGGAAGAGGGGCCGGGGCCCUGGCAGACCGCUGGGGGAGAGUGCAGGUAGGGAACCCGGGGGCUGGGGAGGGCCUGCUGGUGGCUGUGGACCCCACCCCUGCCCAGCGUUGGGCGGGCGGCCUCCUCUGCCCAGCUGCAGCGGGGUGGGUCCUACUUCCCCAAGGAGGCACCCUGGGUUCUGCUGCCCCCUCCAGCGUCCCCUCCCACCUGGCAGCCCCUCAGCGCCCCCCCCCCCAGCUCCUGGGACUCUUUUCCACUUAUUUCUUACAUAGAAAAGCGCGUGUAUGUACAGAUGUGAGCGCUACGGUCUGCAGGUCCCCCCAGCUCACGUGCUGGAAGCUUAACCCCACAUUUCACGUGUGGAUGGUGUUUGGAGGUGACCCUUUGGGAGGUGAGGAAGGCUCGAUGAGGUCAUGAGGGUGCCCCCCACCCCCAUGGCAUGGGUGGCCUUCUGCGAAGUGGGACCUGAGCUGGCCUGGUGCUCACGCGGUGUCCUGCGCCAGGCUGUGCUGCAGGAAGAAGGCCCUGAACAGACACACCCAUGCCGCCGUCCUGGGCUUCCCAGCCUCCAGAACCAGAACCGCGACCCAAGGACCCAAGAAACCUUUAUUCUUUGUCAGUCACCCCGGCUCAGGCGUUCACUUAGAGCAAGGAAACGGCCCAGGGCCAGCCUGAAGGCCAGCGACAAGGCAGCAGAUUUGUCCACCAGGCCCACGCCGCUCACCCAGGCUGGAACGUUCCAGGGUGAGGCAGCCCCACGCCCGGCGUCCUGUCCUUUCUCUCCCGACCCAUGGACAGGUGUGCCCAGCUUCGCCUCCUGCGGGCAACGGCGUGUCAUCCGUGCACGUCUGUGUGCACAUGUGCCGGCGUUUCUCUGGGAGCAGGUUGCAGGGUUGUGGUAUAUGCACAUCUUUACUGGUUAUUGCCAAAUUGCUCUCCAAAGUGGUUGUUCAGAUGAUCGUUUUAAAAUAUAAAUUAGAUCAUGUCACUUCCCUGAUCAAAACUCUCAAAUAGCUUCCUAUUAUACGUAGAACAAAAUCCAUAUUCCCCUCCACGAACACCCGGCUGCGUUCCAAAGUCUGCUCUCCCCUCCCCCGCAACUUUCUGGCCUCCUUUUUUUUUUCUUUUCUUUUUUUAAAUGGCCCUGGCUUUCUCAUGCCCCAGGGCCUUUGUACAUACUGUUCCCUCUGUCUCACACACUCUUCUUUUAGCUCUUUCCAAACUGGCUCCUUCUGAUCUUUCAGGUCCCAGUGAAAAUGUUACCUCCUCUAAGGAGCCUCCCCAGCCCACCCAGUUGAAGUAUCUGCCUAUUUCUGUCAUCACUUCCUUUGGAGUCCACAGCAUGGUUCUAUAAUGAUCUUUUACUCUUUGCCUGCUGGUUUAUCAUUAAUUGGCCUGGCGGCCUAUGGCAGGAGGGCCUCAUCUGCCUCAUUUCCUCCUGGAUUCCAAAGGCCAGCAUGGGCCUGGCACCCAAGGGCUAUUCUUAGGACCACUUAUCCGUUCAAUAGACCUUGCUUCAGCCACCAUGUCUGGAGCGGUGGAUGACAAUGUGCCUGGUGUGUGGGGGGGUGGGCUACGGGAGAGGGGACACAGCAGAGGGGAGUGCGCUGAGUUGAAGGUAGGGUCAGGCCCACGGCCUGUGUGGAACCUUCCCCACGGCCAUGGGGAAUCAUGAAAGGUGCUGGAGCCAGGAGCAGCGGGGUUGACUUGCAUUUUAGAAGUGAGAGGGGCAGUGAAUUGCAGGAGGUGGUGGCUAUGUGCACAAAACACUGCCCACGGCUUGAGUGGGAGGUGGACACCAGGAGGAUCCUCCCUGGACCCCAGCAAGGCCCCCUCGACUGAACCCCCCCCACCUCGUACAGCUGGGAACUGAGACCCUAGGAGGAGAGGAACCCGAAGCAAGAUGCUGAGGGUCCUCAAGUGGGAGUCCCCCCCUGCCCUGGACAGCCAUCUGACCCCUCCAGGGUCUUGUCCUAUGGGGACAAGAGGGCAGCCCAGCGGGGUCCCUGCUCUGCCCACCGCAGGGACCCCCUGGCUCGGGUAUCCUCUCCUCUCUGCCCUCCUGCCCUCCCAGCUUGGGCUCCGCACGGGGGAAGGAGAGGGAGGAGGAGGCUGGCCGUGGCCGCCAUUGGUAUGCGAGGCCCAGCCUCGGCCCUCAGCGGCCCAACCUUCCUGCUCGGCUCUUUAAGAAUCCCUCCUCGGAGCUGCCGCGUGGUGGUUGCCGGGCAACCACAUCCCGCCCCGCCCCCACGGCUGGCGCUGGCUCCCUCCCCUCCCCCUCCCCGGCUCCUCCCUCCCCGCCCGCCUCAGCGGCGCCCGGGCCUGGGCACCUGGGCCUGCAGGUGAGGGGCUGGGGGUGAGCCCGCCCAACCUGGCCCCUGAGCAGGCUCAGUACCCCCGGAUCUGGAGAGGGGGACCCGGGCUUAGCACAUCCUUGCUCAUCACCCUGGAGCCCCCCGUGGGGCAGGUGGAGACUGGGGGAGGGUUCCAGAAGACGAUGUCUCUUUCUUCCCCAGAACUCUGGGAGGGGACCUGGGCUCAGAAGCCCAGUCCUGAUUCCCAUCCCCUCCCGGGGCUCGGUCUUGAGUGGUUUCUGCUGCCCUGCAGAGGUGGGGGGCUGGGGAGGCUGGGGGAGGCCCAGGAGGUGCCUGAGUCCCAGCGCAGGUGAGGGGAGAGGGCCCUCUCUCUGCAGCCCCCGGCCGGGCUGGCUGAGCUGGGCCCUUGGACCCUGGCAUGAGGCCUAGAGAGCCCCAGGGUCCUGGGGAGACUGAGGCAGUAGCCAUCUUGGACAGGGACAGGGACAGGAUGGAGAGGGAGGAGGUGAGGACCCUAGAGGCUCUGGGUCCCUGAAGAACCCCCCAGCCCCUGGCCUCACCCUCCCCUUCCCUCUGGCCCUCAGGGGGAGCUCCCGAUCUUGGGCUGACACCCCCCCCACAGCCCGCCUCGCCCUUGCUGUCCAGCUCCCAUGCUGUCCCUCUCGUGGCUGGCCUUCGAGGCAGAAUCCACAUUUCCUCCUGUGGAGGGUGUGUGAACCGGUGCACGCUGGCCAGUCAAGAAAGCCGAGGUCUCCACAGAAGCAAGUCCUCUCCUGGGGAUAAUGGCUGGGCAUCUGGAAGGCGUGGGGACAGGGGAGGUGGUAUCACUGGUGGGAAGAAGAGGAGGCUCACAGGGGGAAGGAGGGGCCCAUGAGAAAGGCUCGGGACCCACAGCCCAGUCCUGCCGCCUGGAACCUCCUUCAGGUGGCAAGGUCCCGCCUGUCUGUCCCUCUCUGGAGGUUUCUCCCCACCAUCCAGGGGCACCUGUUGGUCUUGGUCUCUACCCCCCACCAGCCGAGACCCCACCCUGCCCUCUCCCCAGGAGCUGUAAAUGGGUCUGGCCUCUCUCUGAGACCCUGGAACCAUCAUUCUGGGGGAGUUCCCAAUUUUAGGAGUCAUGGCUGGCCUUGGGACAGCUCUGUCACUGUGACUCGCCUCAGUGUUAUAGUCAUUCACUCAGUAAUGCUGGGCUAUGCUCUCCCCAUGCACAGGGCUGUGUGGCAGCUGCUGGGGACACAGAGGGACCAAAACAGAUCCUGGCUGUGACUUCCCAGUGCUGGAGGUCAGGUGGAAGAGACGGGCACUAACCAGACACACAUCUGGGGUACAGACCCCCGUCCUAAGUCACGUGCUGUUUUACAUCUGUCCCAGGAGGAAGCCACCCCCUGUGAAAUCAUCAGCCAUGCCCUGAUUCCAGAGAGGGGCAAGUGGCGUCCAGUGGCUGAAAAAUGGAGUCCCACGAGUCAUGGGAAGUCACAAAUGAACUAAGAGCCACCAUCGAGAAGCAGGGAGCAGAGAGAACAAGCUGAAGGCGUGGUGUGGGUGUUUGUCCUCCCAAAUCCAUGUUGGAAUUUCAUCCCCAAUGCCAUAUGUUGAUGGCUUGGAGGGAGGUUUUGGGCAGGUAAUUAGGAUCAGAUGAGGUCAUGAGGGUGGGACCCCCAUGAUGGCAUUAGUGCCUCCUGCCUGUCUUCCUUAUGGUGGGCAGUCCUAGCCAGGUGGCACACAUCUGGAAUCCCAGGGACUUGGGAGGCUGAGGCAGGAGG
rnacentral:lncRNA from 1 species